CUCUGGGUGGUGUAAAUGGUUAACACACUUGGCUGCUAACUGAGAGAGUGGAGAGUUUAGCCCUCCCAGAGG
rnacentral:tRNA from 1 species